rnacentral:rRNA from 1 species
GAUGAACGCUAGCGGCAGGCCUAACACAUGCAAGUCGAGGGGUAUAGGGAGCUUGCUUCCUAGAGACCGGCGCACGGGUGCGUAACGCGUAUGCAAUCUACCUUGUACAGGGGAAUAGCCCAGAGAAAUUUGGAUUAAUGCCCCAUAGUAUUAUUAAAUGGCAUCCUUUAAUAAUUAAAGUUCCAACGGUACAAGAUGAGCAUGCGUCCUAUUAGUUAGUUGGUGUGGUAACGGCAUACCAAGACGAUGAUAGGUAGGGGUCCUGAGAGGGAGAUCCCCCACACUGGUACUGAGACACGGACCAGACUCCUACGGGAGGCAGCAGUGAGGAAUAUUGGACAAUGGGCGCAAGCCUGAUCCAGCCAUGCCGCGUGCAGGAAGACGGUCCUAUGGAUUGUAAACUGCUUUUAUACAGGAAGAAACACUGGUUCGUGAACCAGCUUGACGGUACUGUAAGAAUAAGGAUCGGCUAACUCCGUG